rnacentral:lncRNA from 1 species
AAGCACCCUGUGCUAUCUGAGGCGUGAAAUCCACCUGAGGAAACGUAUCAGAGAAAACCCUGUGUCUGCAGUGUCAGUAUGGAUUCCUCAGAUUAUUUAGGGAUGGAGACUCUUUAGCAGUGUUAAAUGAAUUACCUUCCAUUUAUGAGAUGGCUUCUUUGCAAAGAAAAGGGCUGCAGGCAAGGACUCUAAGCUAUGAAGAAGAGGAGAAACUGAAAAGAGAUCAAGCUUUGGUGUCUGAUUUUAAACAACAAAAGUUGGAAAAAGAGGCUCAGAAGAACUGGGACCUUUUUUACAAAAGAAAUAGCACUAAUUUCUUCAAAGAUAGACACUGGACCACCAGAGAAUUUGAGGAGCUAAGAUCAUGUAGGGAGUUUGAAGAUCAAAAGUUGAUAGUGCUUGAAGCUGGCUGUGGGGUUGGAAACUGUUUAUUUCCACUUUUAGAAGAAGAUGUGAAUAUCUUUGCUUAUGCCUGUGAUUUUUCUCCAAGAGCAGUUGAAUAUGUAAAGGUAUUAAAACCAGGCAAAAGCGUCUUAUUUCGUGACUAUGGGCUAUAUGAUCAUGCCAUGCUUAGGUUUAAAGCUGGCAGCAAACUUGGAGAAAACUUUUAUGUUAGACAAGAUGGAACCAGAUCGUAUUUUUUUACUGAUGAAUUCCUGGCUCAGCUCUUUAUGGACACAGGUUAUGAGGAAGUGGUGAAUGAAUAUGUGUUUCGAGAGACGGUGAAUAAAAAAGAAGGCCUGUGUGUGUCGAGAGUUUUCCUGCAGAGCAAAUUUCAGAAGCCUCCAAAGAACCCAAGUCCUGUGACCCUGGACCUGAGACAUAAGUCCUGA